rnacentral:tRNA from 1 species
GUGAAAUUAGUUCAGCUGGUUAGAAUGUCGGAUUGUGGUUCCGAAGGUCGUGGGUUCGAAUCCCACAUUUCACC